UACGGGGGGGGCAAGCGUUGUCCGGAAUUAUUGGGCGUAAAGAGCUCGUAGGCGGCUUGUCACGUCGGGUGUGAAAGACCGGGGCUUAACCCCGGUUCUGCAUUCGAUACGGGCUGGCUAGAGUGUGGUAGGGGAGAUCGGAAUUCCUGGUGUAGCGGUGAAAUGCGCAGAUAUCAGGAGGAACACCGGUGGCGAAGGCGGAUCUCUGGGCCAUUACUGACGCUGAGGAGCGAAAGCGUGGGGAGCGAACAGG
rnacentral:rRNA from 1 species